rnacentral:rRNA from 1 species
GAUGAACGCUGGCGGCGUGCCUAAUACAUGCAAGUCGAGCGAACAGACGAGGAGCUUGCUCCUUCGACGUUAGCGGCGGACGGGUGAGUAACACGUAGGUAACCUACCUAUAAGACUGGGAUAACUUCGGGAAACCGGAGCUAAUACCGGAUAAUAUUUCGAACCGCAUGGUUCGAUAGUGAAAGAUGGCUUUGCUAUCACUUAUAGAUGGACCUGCGCCGUAUUAGCUAGUUGGUAAGGUAACGGCUUACCAAGGCAACGAUACUUAGCCGACCUGAGAGGGUGAUCGGCCACACUGGAACUGAGACACGGUCCAGACUCCUACGGGAGGCAGCAGUAGGGAAUCUUCCGCAAUGGGCGAAAGCCUGACGGAGCAACGCCGCGUGAGUGAUGAAGGUCUUCGGAUCGUAAAACUCUGUUAUUAGGGAAGAACAAACGUGUAAGUAACUGUGCACGUCUUGACGGUACCUAAUCAGAAAGCCACGGCUAACUACGUG